UUGUCUUCAGGUCCAAAGACAAUGGUCGUUCCCUUUUUUUUGGUGGAUUGUCCACAUCAGGAAGCACUUUUCUUUUCACACCUUUUGUGCUCUUUCCCUGACUCCUGAUUAGGUCGUUCUCUUCUUUGAUCUUUUCAAUUUCUUCUUUCUGUUUCAUUUCUGGUGAUUUUGUCACAAUGGUAGAAGCGAUUUUUUUUACCUGACUUUGAAUUAGGUUUGGUGGGAUAGGUAGAGGUCUAAUUACCACUAACUCGCCAUAUCGAAGCUGACACUGAGGAUUCACAGUUAUGGUAAGGCCGAAGGGAAGGAAUGAAUUCGACAGAAAGAUCUUGUUUUGUAGGUCAUGAAAUCUGUGAUUUAAUUCCCUGGAAACACUUGACGUAGAUAGGGCAAAAGCUUCAUAGCUCUUUUGUUGAUCUCCCAACUUAGUGGAUCUUUCUGACCAAUGCUGACUGCAUAUUUGUACGCCAGUUCCCGGAUUGUUAGCAGGGGAUACCUUCUGCGAUUCCGGCAAUCCUCUUUUUACCCUCCGCAACUGUGGUAAUCGGGAUUCCAAGGGCUGCGGAAGCAUCUUUAACUUUCAGCUUUUCUUGGAGAAUUUCCUGGAGAGCUGUUGCAUGGUUGCCUCAUCCACAGUGCUGCGUUCUUUCCUCUCACUUUGCUUUUCUCCAUCCUCUGCAUAUCUCAAAAUUGAAUGAAUGGAAUCACAAAAUUCUCACAACCUUUUCACAGAAAAUCUUCCUUCUUUGACACAAAAACAAUAACAAAAAAGUGAGGUUAUGCCGAAAAUAUUCAAAAACUAGUUAUAAGCUGUAAGAGUUUAUAGGAGAUGUGAUUCUUUCACUUUAUUUCAGUUUGUGCAAACAAUAAAAAACGCUUUUAUGCAAAAAUAUUACAAAAUUGUUUUCAUAAUUACUUUACUGCGGCAUAAUUGAGUCAUAUUAUUUUUGUUAAUCAACUUUAAGCUUUUUUGCAUUUUAGUUUAUAUAGUGAUUGAUCAAAUCAAAGAAUUACAAUAUGUGUGAAUAUGAGAGAAUUGCACUUAAUAAUAGAGUUGCCUGAUUUUUAUGCUCAAACAUGGGCACCGAGGAUUUAAUUGGAUGGGCAUGGGUAGGACUUUUAAAUCUUCUACCACCCACAAAACCAGCUUCAUCCUAGUCAAAAGAUUUUUCUUUAAAUAUAAUCCCUGGUGAAGCCUCUAUGUGCCUGUAUAGUAGUUUUUCCAAAAAGUGUGAUUAAUUGUGAAAAAUUGUAUGAAAUAUGACACAACAAAAUUACAGUUUUGGGCCUAUUUUCGAUUUUUGUUUCCAGGAACUAGGAUAAAAGGACUAGAAUCCUAUUUUUUUCAGGAAAGGUGAGGCAUAUGACUAGCUUUUAAAAUAUAUUGCGAUGAGUCACAAUUAUUGAGUAAUAUAAGAAUAAUUGAGUUAUUGUAAAGCUUGGGUCUUUUAAAGCAUGGGCACUUUCCCCUA